rnacentral:rRNA from 1 species
UUUUUUAAGCAUUAAUUUAAAAUACAACCUGCUCAGUGUAAAAAUAAAUAGCUGCAUUUACUGUACUAAGGUAGCAUAAUCAUUAGCCUUUUAAUUAAAGGAUAGAAUGAAUGGUAUUACGAAAUAUAAACUGUCUCAAAUAAAUUAAUUAAUUUAAAUUAAAAGUAAAAAUUCUUUUACAAAUCAGAAAGACGACAAGACCCUAAUAAACUUAUUUAUUUAGCUGGGGCGGCACAAAAAUAAAACCUUAAAAUAUUACUCUAGACCAAACUAAUAAAAUUAAUAAUGAUAAAGUUACUAUAGGGAUAACAGCGCAACUUUAAUUUAAAGAUCCCAUCAAAAUUAAACACUACGACCUCGAUGUUGAAUUAAUUGUACUAUAUUAGAGCAAAAUCUAUAAAAGAAGGUCUGUUCGACCAAUAAAUAAUU